GAUGAAGAACGUAGCGAAAUGCGAUAAGUAAUGUGAAUUGCAGAAUUCAGUGAAUCAUCGAGUCUUUGAACGCACAUUGCGCCCCCUGGUAUUCCGGGGGCAUGCCUGUCCGAGCGUCAUUGCUGCCCUCAAGCACGGCUUGUGUGUUGGGCCCCCGUCCCCGGUUUCCCCCGGGGACGGGCCCGAAAGGCAGCGGCGGCACCGCGUCCGGUCCUCGAGCGUAUGGGGCUUUGUCACCCGCUCUGUAGGCCCGGCCGGCGCCAGCCGACACCCAACUUUAUUUCUAAGGUUGACCUCGGAUCAGGUAGGGAUACCCGCUGAACUUAAGCAUAUCAAUAAGCGGAGGA
rnacentral:misc_RNA from 1 species